rnacentral:sRNA from 1 species
CUUCUUCUAUUUGUUGCGGACAAAUAAAGUGGAUGUGUGCAUCAAUUGCGCCUGCUGUGACAAUGUGUCCCUCUCCAGCGAUAACUUCUGUACUGGCACCGAUAUUAAUCGUUACGUCAGGUUGGAUGUCUUUGUUACCGGCUUUCCCAAUCGCAACAAUAUUGCCAUCUUUAAUCCCAAUGUCUGCUUUCACGAUCCCCCAAUGAUCGAGAAUCAACGCAUUAGUGAUCACACAAUCCACCACAUCUGCGCGACAUAGUUGCCCUUGUCCCAUCCCAUCGCGGAUG